GAUGAAGAAGCAGCGAAAUGUGAUACUUGGUGUGAAUUGCAGAAUCCCGUGAACCAUCGAGUCUUUGAACGCAAGUUGCGCCCGAAGCCAUUUGGUUGAGGGCACGUCUGCCUGGGCGUCACAUAUCGUUGCCCGAUGCCUAUUGCACUGUGAUAGGAAAUUCUAGGGCGAAAGAUUGCUUCCCGUGAGCGUUGUUGCCUCGCGGUUGGUUGAAAAUUGAGUCCUUGGUAGGGUGUGCCAUGAUAGAUGGUGGUCGAGUUUGCACGAGACCGAUCAUGUGUGCGCUCCCCAAAAUAUGGACUCUUUGACCCCACACGCGUCUUUUGACGCUCAUGACGAGACCUCAGGUCAGGCGGGGCUACCCGCUGAGUUUAAGCAUAUCAAUAAGCGGAGGA
rnacentral:misc_RNA from 1 species